rnacentral:rRNA from 1 species
AACGAACGCUGGCGGCAUGCCUAACACAUGCAAGUCGAACGAGACCUUUGGGUCUAGUGGCGCACGGGUGCGUAACGCGUGGGAAUCUGCCCUUGGGUUCGGAAUAACAGUGAGAAAUUGCUGCUAAUACUGGAUGAUGUCUUCGGACCAAAGAUUUAUCGCCCAGGGAUGAGCCCGCGUAGGAUUAGCUAGUUGGUGGGGUAAUGGCCUACCAAGGCGACGAUCCUUAGCUGGUCUGAGAGGAUGAUCAGCCACACUGGGACUGAGACACGGCCCAGACUCCUACGGGAGGCAGCAGUGGGGAAUAUUGGACAAUGGGCGCAAGCCUGAUCCAGCAAUGCCGCGUGAGUGAUGAAGGCCUUAGGGUUGUAAAGCUCUUUUACCAGGGAUGAUAAUGACAGUACCUGGAGAAUAAGCUCCGGCUAACUCCGU